CUGGUCUGCAAAAGUGAGGAGUGUCCCCGCCUUCCAAAGAUUCUUACAGCGCUUCCUGUCACCUAAAGCCUGUUGAUGUCUCCAGACCAGCCCGGAAGAAGUGCUCCCUGAUCUUUAAAAUUGAAUACACUUUUCUGUCUUUCCAUGAGUUGUCCCUUAAUCUGAACUGCAACCAAAUGAAGAGUGUAAUUACUUCCUUCAAGCCAUCCUGUCGUAUAAAGGUGAAUCCUCCUGCGGAGCCAAAGGUCAACUUCACCUCUGUUUCCUGGUUGUCCCAAGUCCCUGAACAUGAAAGGAUCAGUUCAUACAGAAGUGUAGUGCAGUGGAAGAAGCAGGAUCAGUCAUGGAGUGAUCCUGCUGUGCACAAAAAAAGUGGUAUUCAAUGUGGACAGGAGUGCAAGGCAGAGCUGGAGCCAGAUUUGCUGAUACGAGGCGAGAGGUACGAGGCACGCGUUCGUGUGCGGUCUAUUUUUCAGCACCGCAAGGGAGCCUGGAGUGACUGGAGCCCCACUGCAUCAUGGGUGUCACCAGCUGGAAGAAAAAAAAAAGUAACCAUGUGGAAUUGCUAUAAAUUUUCACAGCACACAUUGCAACCUGUACCCAGAUAUUUAAAAUCACAGAUGUACGGGAUGUAUGUAAAACUUAGGUUUUUGGUAGCACUUAAUAAUA